rnacentral:rRNA from 1 species
GUACGAGGUGGCUAGCGUGUUCGGAUUCGACUGGGCGUAAAGCGCGCGUAGGCGGCUUUCAAGUCAGGGGUGAAAUCCCCACAGCUUAACUGUGGAACUGCCUUUGAAACUGGUAAAGCUAGAGUGUCGGAGGGGAUAGCGGAAUUGCUAAUGUAGAGGUGAAAUUCGUAGAUAUUAGCAGGAACACCGGUGGCGAAGGCGGCUAUCGUGGACGACAACUGACGCUGAGGCGCGAAAGUGUGGGGAGUCAAACAGG